ACGGGACGAAACGAAAACAAAUCAUGUGAACUGGUUCCUGUAACUUUCAUAUCAUGUUCAUAAAGUCUCACCGGGCGACAAUGCAAGCUCUUAGGUGUCUUUGUUUAAGAGGUUCUAAACGCCUAGCUCAUGGUUAGCACGUCGGCUAGCUCGCGGGCGUGUCGUCAUGGAGGAGGGACGUCACGUGGCCACGUCACGUGGCUCACCCGGAAGUGGAAUGACGAAGAAGGCGAUGUCCGCCACAAGCGAACGAGCGUCUUCUUCACAUUUACGGCAAUGACUUGAACGCUGCCGGCUCAUCCCGUCGGGUGGGAAGGCUGCGUUACUCCGGGGGAGUUCAGGGUUAAAGUCGUCGGAUGCUUGAUGGUGUGACGGUAGCGCAGCCAAGAGUCCGCGAUGCCACUGGUGGUGGAUGCCGUGUGGGCGCUGUGGAGCAUCACUGCCGGGAUCUACGACUACUUCCACACCAGCGCCAUGGAGGAGAGGAUCCAUACGCUGGAGAACGUGCUGUCCAUCCACCAGUUUGUCAUAGUGGGUCUGUCAGCGGGCCUCAUCCUGCUCAUGACGUACAUACUCUGGAGAAAACACUAACCAGUGAAGGAUGUAUCGCCAUGUACUAGCUUGAAGAUGUGCACUGAUGACCACUAAAAAUCAUCGUAACUGGUUAAAUAUCAACAAUUGUCGCUAUUCUGUUUGCUAACAUUACUGACAUGGCCAAGCGAUUUUUAACAACAGAAAACGGAAACAUUUGUCUGGCUGCUUCCAUGUUUAGGAAUGAAAGUUAUUUUUGUCAUGCUGAGCGGGAUUAUACCAGUCGGCAGCAGAAUACGUUUUUGAAAUGCGACGAUGUGUUUUUGUUGAGUGUUUUAACAUUGAAAUGUUUCUACCUAGUGUGCAAUAGUUCUGAAAAACCACUGACAUGGCCGCUGUGAAAGGGAAUACUGUAUGUUGGAAGAAUAAACAUCUAUCAGAAAUUAAUGGGAGAUUUGUUUUUCCCAAAA